rnacentral:pre_miRNA from 1 species
AAGUCAUCACAGAACUACACUGUAGUGAAUGGGAGGCCAGGGUAGUUCUGUGAUGACUUGU